CGAAAGAAAAAUGGUAAACAUCUUGACUUUUAUUCGAUUUCAUCCUCAAACUGACUUGCCGUGUCUGCGGACCAAUGCUCAUUAAACAGGAAUAAAACGGAUUGAACUAUUUCAUCUUGAAGUGUGUUAAUAGGAAUAUAUCCAGCAACCUGUCUGAAGUUUUGCCAGAACAACUACAACAUUGGACCACAUGCAUUGGAACCUUAUUAUUUAAGGACUACCAAUGGGGAAGGACUGUAUUUAAUUGUUGCUGUUAACUAUCUUGGUACCAGUUAUGCCAACAUUUACCUACCUGCAGCAGAGGCCCUGCCGACUUUAAACAAUCAUAGCUGACACUCCUUGUUGUGCGCUGGCAGAAAUGCAAAGUGGUACCACCAGUUGUCUAUGCCACCUUUCCCCUCAUUUUAGAGGAUAAUGUGGACAGUCCCUGCAGUUUACAGCUAAGCCCUCAGUAUAGCCCUACAAAUUUUAGAUACUGCCGAUGGCGCGUAAGAUCCAGUACAUUGGGCCUGAGUUUCCAGUACGCCAAACUAGAGCCAGGAUUAAUAUCAGACGGACCUCUCUGUGGGUGGACGGAUUCAGAGAUGACCCAAAGAUGCGGCCAUGACUGUGUCACAUGGACGUUAUUGAUGAAACCAUCAUGAUUUAGUUUUUUGGUGAUAAAUCAACAGACAAAGUGUGUAUAAUUUGUGGAUAAAUAGUGUUAAAGCUAGAAACUUUUCUACGAAUUCCUACUCAAGUGGUGAACUGGAAUAAUAUUGUAUAUAACAAAGAAGAGAAUCUUGUUGUGGGCCGUCUUCAUACACAAUUCUGCAGUCAUCUGCACUAGACCUGUUGGGGCAGUUUGAUUUGAUUUAUCAGUGGCUCUACUUAAAGCAAGCUUUUGUUUUCACAAGCUUGAUGUAAUAUAUUUUUCUUAUUUUCAAACUGAUAACAACCAUUUGACAAGUUCCAUGACAUAUUUAAGGCAUAUUUUCCGAAAAUGUAAAAAAAUUACAACUCUUCAAAUACAUGAUUGUUUUUGAGUGAAAAUUUAAGAAAUAAGAAAUUCUACCUCUUUUAAACCCAAUAUACUGGCUUGGAGACCAAAAUCCAUCUCUGACAUUGCCAGAGGUUCACAUGAUGUCUGUUCAAACUCGUAAAUACUUUUAAUAAUUCGGAUAGUGGAUUCAAUUGACUGUAACAUGACUGUAUAUUUCUUAUGUACAAAAUUCAUGUUUAUUUUUUUUCUGAAUAGUGAUGUUUAAACUUUUUAUGCAGCCAAUGGUGUUAUGGGCUUUUGUUAAAGAUGCACUCCAACUCCCAAAUGAGAUUUACCACAAUUCAUAAUAUUAUUUAAAUAUUCCAAAAAGGAUGAAUAAAUGUCAAAAACAAUGGUUCUUAUGAAGGAUACCCAGUUUAAUUUUAAAGAAAUGAGCAUAAAACACGGUAUUUCUACCUUAUGCGACUAUAGUAGACCACAGUAAAUCUUUUAGCAUUCACCAAUCAUUUAAUAUGUUUUGCGCUUCGCUAUUAAAUACAUGGUUACAAUCUUGUUAUCAGUAAUUAAUAAUUUUCAUAAAUGCAUUAUUUAGUUUAAGUAGUUACAGGCUUAUCAGUCAAAACUGAUGUUUGUUGUACAUGUGUAUGUAUUGAUUUGGAAUAAGAGUGUCACUUUAAUCAUAAGCAUCUAGAUUUUCUAUAUAUUUGUAAACAAAUUGUACACUAUUUAUUAUACCCCCCAAAACAAAGUUUUUAUACCCCCCAAAACAAAGUUUGGGGGGGUAUACUGGAAUCGGGUUGUCCGUCCGUCUGUCCGUCCAUUUUUUUUUUGUCCGGGAUUCAUCUUUGUCGUUAUUGAACAAAUCUUUUUCAAACUUUCAAAUAUUAAUGACCAUGAUGUAAACCUGUGCCUCCGUGGAUUUGGUCAGAGUCGCAUGAUCCUGAGUGGAGUUGUGGCCCCUUAAUGAGUUAAAUUGGGCAAAAUUAGCUUUGUCCAGGAUUCUUCUUUGAAGCUAUUGAGCAAAUCUUUUUCAAACUUUCAAAUAUUAAUGGCCAUGAUGUAAACCUUUGCCUCCAUGAAUUUGGUGGGAGUCACAUGAUCCUGAGUGGAGUUGUGGCCCCUUAAUGAGUUAAAUUGGGUAAAAUUAGUUUUGUUCGUCCUACUCCUUUGUCAUUUUUGAAUGAAUCUUUUUCAAACUUUUAGCCAUGGUGAGAACAUUUGCCCCUGUGAUUGUGGUUGGAAUCACAUGAUCAUGUCUCCAAUUAUGGCCCCUGAAUAAGUUAAAAUAGGCAAAAAUUAUACAGCUUUGUCUAGUUGUUACUAAAAAUAGAAAAACGGUUUCCGGACGAUAACUCAUGAAAGGCUAGACAGAUUUGAACAAUUUUUGGUACACAGGUGUAACAUCAGAAGAUACAGGUCAAGUUCGAUAUUGGGGCUGGUGGGGCCAAGGUCAAGGUCAUUGUUACUAAAAAUAGAAAAACAGUUUUCGGACAAUAAGUCAUGAAAGGCUAGACAGAUUUGAACAAUUUUUGGUACACAGGUGUAACAUCAGAAGAUACAGUUUGGUACACAGGUGUAACAUCAGAAGAUAUAGGUCAAGUUCGAUAUUGGGGCUGGUGGGGCCAAGGUCAAGGUCAUUGUUACUAAAAAUAGAAAAACAGUUUUCGGACAAUAAGUCAUGAAAGGCUAGACAGAUUUGAACAAUUUUUGGUACACAGGUGUAACAUCAGAAGAUACAGUUUGGUACACAGGUGUAACAUCAGAAGAUAUAGGUCAAGUUCGAUAUUGGGGCUGGUGGGGCCAAGGUCAAGGUCACUGUUACUAAAAAUAGAAAAACGUUUUCCGGACGAUAACUCAUGAAAGGCCUGACAGAUUUGAACAAUUUUUGGUACACAGGUGUAACAUCAGAAGAUACAGCUCAAGUUCGAUAUUGGGGCUGGUGGGGCCAAGGUCAAGGUCACUGUUACUAAAAAUAGAAAAACGGUUUCCGGAUGAUAAAUCAUGAAAGGCUUACAGAUUUGAACAAUUUUUGGUACACAGGUGUAACAUUAGAAGAUACAGGUCAAGUUUGAUAUUGGGGCUGGUGGGGCCAAGGUCAAGGUCACGGUUACUAAAAAUAGAAAAACGGUUUCCGGACGAUAACUCAUGAAAGGCUAGACAGAUUUGAACAAUUUUUGGUACACAGGUGUAACAUCAGAAGAUACAGGUCAAGUUUGAUAUCGGGGCUGCUGGGGCCAAGGUCAAGGUCACUGUUACUAAAAAUAGAAAAACAGUUUCCGGACGAUAACUCAUGAAAGGCUAGUUUUUCUUGUCAGCAGUGUAACUUCUAAAUUACUCAACAUAUUUAAAUAAAACAGUACAUGCAUGAUAAAAGAAGAUGCAGUUUGCAGUAACCUUGGAGUUAUGGCCUCUUUUCAAAGGAAUGGUUUGCCAUUCCUGUGUCCAGGCGGCAUUUGGGGGUAUUCGUCACUACUGUGACAGCUCUAGUUUAUCUCUGCAUCUUUUAUUUUGAACCAUAAGGGAUCAAAUGCUGUUUAAAUCACUUAUUAUAUACAUCUUUUUAAGUGACAUAUAUGUAUUAAAAUGGCCUUAUUAUUAUUGCCAUCAUGUGAUUGUAGAAUAAAAGUUGAGACCAGUUUGUGGUACCCUGUGAGUCAUUCAUGUUGUUGUGAUAUAUAUUUCAUCAUAGUUUUGAGAAAUGGGAACAAAUGCUUUAAAAAUAUGUUUUACUAUACAUGUACUUUGAUAAUGUAAGGCUCCAUAAAUGGAGUCUGUUUUGUUUUAUAUUGUGUAUUUUUCUUUUAAUUCUCUUUUAUAAUCAAUGCAAAGACUUGUGCAAUAAAUUUCUUUCUAG